UCUCGGUGGUGAGAGGGAGAAAAGAGAGCAGAAGAGAGACACCUGCGUGCAAUAGUAAUGGAAGCUGAAUAAUAACCCUGAAACAGAGCACAGAUGCCUAGGAUGCAGAAUAACCAGCUGCCCCUUGCUCCCACUACCAUGCUGUCCCUGCUGUGAUGGGCUAUACCCUCAAACUCUGAGGAAAGCACAGUGACCUGUGAAUGGAGUCAUACAGAAAGCAUGCAAGUUCACAAGCACGUGAGUAAACCUGUCGGUCGCAUAUCCACUUCUCCAUCCCUCUUCUAAGGUUGGCGUCCUCAUCCAUCUCCUGAGGAGGAAGGGAAGGUGGAGAGUAUGCCCAGGAAA